CCACCCUUUAAUGUUUGAUGUUCUAACGUGGACCCGUAAUCCGGGUUGCGGACAGUGUCUGGUGGGUAGUUUGACUGGGGCGGUCUCCUCCUAAAGAGUAACGGAGGAGCACGAAGGUUGGCUAAUCCUGGUCGGACAUCAGGAGGUUAGUGCAAUGGCAUAAGCCAGCUUGACUGCGAGCGUGACGGCGCGAGCAGGUGCGAAAGCAGGUCAUAGUGAUCCGGUGGUUCUGAAUGGAAGGGCCAUCGCUCAACGGAUAAAAGGUACUCCGGGGAUAACAGGCUGAUACCGCCCAAGAGUUCAUAUCGACGGCGGUGUUUGGCACCUCGAUGUCGGCUCAUCACAUCCUGGGGCUGAAGUAGGUCCCAAGGGUAUGGCUGUUCGCCAUUUAAAGUGGUACGCGAGCUGGGUUUAGAACGUCGUGAGACAGUUCGGUCCCUAUCUGCCGUGGGCGCUGGAGAACUGAGGGGGGCUGCUCCUAGUACGAGAGGACCGGAGUGGACGCAUCACUGGUGUUCGGGUUGUCAUGCCAAUGGCACUGCCCGGUAGCUAAAUGCGGAAGAGAUAAGUGCUGAAAGCAUCUAAGCACGAAACUUGCCCCGA
rnacentral:rRNA from 9 species